rnacentral:tRNA from 1 species
GCCCCCGUAGCUCAGUGGAUUAGAGCGUCUCCCUGCGGAGGAGAAGGCCACACGUUCGAAUCGUGUCGGGGGUA